GGGAGGUGAGAUGCUGCAUGCAUCUCUAUGCCCCCUAAAAUACAAAGUUCAAGGACACCUGAAAAGGGCUUAAACAGAAAUGGGAACUGAGCAACUUGUGUAGGGAUAGCAUUUCAGGGGUUAAUGAAUAUGAUAAGGGAAGAUCAGGAUCAUACCUCAAGAGUCCCAUGUAUACAAAGCCUAGACACAUAUAACUGAAGCAUAUAGGGUCCCUUACACAGGGUUUUUGCUCAGGGGAAAAUAUCACCUUGAUGUGUGUGACCUUACCACAUUUCUCAUGAUUUGACAUAGCACAGUAGAUAAACAAAUGACACUUGGCAGUCAUUUAUUGUUUCCAGCACAAUGUUUGUUAAAUUUCAAUCUGUACAAAGUCAUAAUGAAAUAAAACCCUUCUAUCAUGUGCUGUAAAAUCCCACAUAAAGAACAGCAUCCAUUAGACUGCGGAACAAAAAAUAGGGGAUCUCUCCCUUUGGAAAAUAUUUGCAAUCUUGUUCCUGGAAACAUUUCAAGGAUGUUUUGUAAAGCAGUCAAGGAUACAGUGAAGAUAAAAGUCAGUGCGUUGGCAGGAAGAAGGACGGGCUGACCCAACAGAGCCUUUCCCAGCUCUGAUUUCUCUGAUACUGUGAAGCAUGCCCUCUAUUUAUGUAAAGCUGAGAGCAAUAUAGAGGCUUCAAGGAGGCAGACAUUUGACAGUAGUUACUGUUGUGAAAGCCAUCCCCAAGAGAGACUUGCUGCCUUUGAUUGCCAAGACCUUAUGAGCAUUUUGCAGCUUUCCGUACCUUCUGAGCCUAAAGAGUCUUUAAGAGCUGUUGACCAGGAUAUCAGCAGAACUUACUGAAUAUGCAUUGCAUAAAGCAGCUUUUGAUAGACCUACCUAGGAUGUAUCAUUCCCCAAUUCUCAGCAGUGCAAAUGUGCACAACAAAAGAAAUGGAUAAUUAAUGACUGCAGCCCCCUUCCCCCCCAGGCAUGUUUCUGCCCUGGGCACCCCAAGGCAAUGGCACACACGCUUUUUCAAGCUCAGCAGCCCUACCAUGAGGAAUAGGAAGAAAGUAGCAACUGAAGUGGCUGACAUCAAAGCCUUUUGGGGCCAUUCAGCUUCAUGACUUCCUGUGAACAAUAGCUACUAAUCAUGUUCCAAAGGAGCAGCUGCAGACACACAUUUCUGAGAAAUAUACUGCAGGAAAUGUGUGCAUGUGUCGCAGCUAAACGGAACAUCUAUUUUGUCUCUUCGCAGUUCCACUAAUAUGCCAAGGUUACUUUCUGUGAGCAAAGCUGGCUCUUUUUAUGCGACAAAUGUGCUAAAUAGUAGACACUGUAGCAUGAUAAGCAAGGAAAAGCCAAAGCACAGCAACAAAUAGAGUUCAAAAAAACCCCUAUAUUACUGUUGUAUUCUGUAAACUCCCAGACAUUGGGGCUCAAAAAAUAUAAAAAACAAGUGGGACUCUGCAAUGUUGCAGUGUGUACUUAACAUGCACAUGUUAUCCAAGGGAGAGGAGAGCAAGUGUCCUUCUAGACAAAUAACUUGCCCUCCCCCUAGUUCAUGGAUGCCUGUGGUAAGUUAACAGAAAUGCACUUUUUGCAUGCUUUAAACACUUUUCUUAAUUAUUUUGCUGUCUACAGAGUAGUGCCCCAGGGGCUGUUUUUCUUCUGUUGGUGACAGAACUAGCAUGUGGAAGAGACAUACGGAAGUGGAAGAUAGAUGAUGAUACUCUUCCAAGCCUGAGACAUUCAGCGCUCCUCCAUACUCCCAAGCAAGCACGAAUAAGAGUGCAGCCUCAGCUGCUUGUAGUGCAAAUCUUCUGAAGGUUAUCUCAGAAGUAAGGGCUUGUCCACACCAAUUUCCCCUGGAGAAACCCAUGGUUUCCCACUAAAUCAAAACAAACAUCAAUCACGUUUUUCUGUGGAUUGACUUUGGUUCUGAUUCAGCAAUAAACAACAGAUUUUCCCAGUGAAAGCCAUGGGACAAAAGAACAACCACUUGGAUCCAUUACUGAAAAGCAAGAGACAAGCAAACACCUCUGUGACCCAUGCUUUCUAGGCAUGUAUCAAACAGAAGUGUGGAUGAGCCCUAAGUCUCACUGUGCAGACUCUUAAUGGGUCUUAACUUGGACAUCAAGAAUAUAAGGGAUGGGAUAUGCUUUACUGUACAUUAUAUGUGUGACAUAGGAGAACUCAACAUGGGAUCACCAUUUUUUUCCUAGUAUCAUGUAAUAUGUUUACCAGAAUCACUAGUCCUACCCUCAAAUGCAUAAAUGCAGCUCUCCACUCCUAAGGGUUAGCUUCCAAUAGAUGAAACAGGUGUGUAUACCAAUGCCUUUCUGUUUGUGGGUUUGUUUUUGUCAUUUAAAAGAAUGGGAUGUCCUGUGCAUUGGAACCUAUAUAAGGUGCACUAUGUUUGCUAUUACUAGUGUAACUUUAGAAGGGCAGCAAUAAUUUUGCCAGAGAUUAAUAUAUCUUAUAUAUCAUGUUAUUGUAUAUCAGAGGUGGGCAAUCUCAUGCCUCUAGGCCUCUGUAUCUCUCCCUCGGGAUUUUUUCCCAGGCUACAUUCCUUUUUAGGCCAAACCCAUUUUCCUCUGGGAACACCCCUCAAUGGACUUGCUCUGUGUCUUCCUCAAAUGCUUUUGUGUGCCUGAAAAGUGUCAUUUGCCCUAUUGCAAAUGCCUUUUGCUUUCCUUGAUGGAGGACAGAGGGAUAGAGUUGCACCUGCUGCUCACUCGCUUUUGCCUUUGCAACUGCCCACCACAGACAUGCAGCCAUUGGAAGGUUGCCUAUGAGGGAAUGUGGCUCCAAGGCUGAAAAGCUCCCCCUCUUCUGCUGUACACCCACAAUGAUCAAAAUGGGAGCCAAGCAACCCCAGAGAGACAGGGAGAGAUACAUAAUUGUAAAACAAAGAACGGAUAUUUUUCCUUUCUUCUCACUUCCAACCCAGUAUUUUGUUUAUAUUGGUUGCUCCAUAAGGGCAUGUUCAAUGAGGGUAGCAGGCAGAGCAAAGGUUGAUUGGUCAGAACCAACCAGCCAGCCAUAGGAGCCUUCGCUGUGUUGUUAGGCUGCCAGCAGUGACAGCAGCUUGGGGAAAUGCUGCAAAAAGCCUAACAGGGUUUCAGUUCCAGGUCAAAAAUUGAAAUUGACGUGUGGGUCCCUUAGCAAGAAAGGAUUCCAUUUGUAUUGUGGGUCUUCUUGCAAAAAAUGCUUGGAAACUACUGAACUAUACAAAACUGUGUCCUGAUUGAAUUUAUUAUAUGGAUUGCUUUUUAUAUGUUGAAAUAUAUAUAUUUUUAAAAAUACAACUUGAGGACCAAUCCAUUCAACCAUGUGCACAUGUCAUAGCCACUUUAUCUUAUGUAACUCUCUCUGCAAAAAGCCAAGUGCCACAACAUGUAGUAUUAUGUUCCCAGUGCGCUAUUCCUAUCCCAUUGACCACUUGAGAGGGCUAAAGCUUAUCCCUACCACCAGUGUAUUGUUCGCAGGUUUUCUGACACCAAUGUUAAAUCUCCAUCACAGGGUAUCCAUAGCUGCAGUUACUCUCAUAGAAACGAACAUCUGCAACUCAUGUGGGGGGAAAUAAGGUUAGACAUCUGGGGACAGUGUUGCAGUCACUAUCUUGUAAGAGAGGAUGGCCCAGUCUCCAUCAAUGCCACAGGGAAGGGUUGUAAUAUGACCCAGGGGUGCCAAGGGGAAAGGUUGUGAUAGAUUUCUGUGCACAGAGCAAAGCACAUGGGGAUGCAUGUGAUUGCACAAACACACCCAGACACACCAGCAAGCCCAGCAGUAUGCAACCCUUGACACAGACUGUGUAGCAGGCAUUUUUUCUACUAUUGAAUAAAUAUUGAAAACAAUUCACUUUGGCUAUGCACAAAGAAACUAAUGAUAUACUGCAUGUCAUGUUUCCCCUCAUAAUAGAUUGACACGUGUUUGAGGAAAUGUUGAUGAUGCAUUUGAGUGCAUAAUAAUAUGUGUUAACUGUGUUAAUUAUUUUGAAUCGUUUGGAGAAGCCAUUAGUAAGGCAUUAGAAGAAUUAAAUAUAAAUAUUUAACACAUUUAAACUGAUUGCAUUUCAUCAAAUCUUGGCUUAUCUUUUAUGUUUCCCUAAUCUUCAUGCAGUCCUCUGAACUUCUGAACAGCUUCAUGACUUCCUGUGAACAGUGCUACAUUGAAGGAUAAAAACCCAAUGUAUACUAGAGUCUGUACACAUACAAUUUUUGCACACAUAGGCUCUGUGUGGUAGUUCUUGGGACUGCGUGGUUAAGGGCAGAGCCAAAGUUGCAAUCCCUCAUUUACUCUUUUGAAGAGGGCUUUUUAUCACAUUUUGUCAAGCCAUGUUUGCAAUAC